rnacentral:lncRNA from 1 species
ACUCCAAAAAAGCUGACGGACAAAAAAAGGUGGAAGAAUAAUAAUAAUAACAAAGAAACAUAAGAAAAGCAAUAUGUCACCCGACAUUGUCGAUCGGGUGACAUAAUAAUAACUAGAAUUGCCAUUGCAAGCAAUAGCGGAUGUCACCCUUCCCCCAAUUGCCACUAAGCGCAGCCAUUUCAAAAUUGUUUAACAGUGAAUGCACAUAUAUGCAUGGCAAUACAUCUUUCUGUAAAUUUUCAGUACAUUCAGA